CCCAACGACCUGAUAAGAACUGAAUGUAACGGGUUGUCCUGCAGUCUGUCCUGAGUAAACGUUGUGUUUACUCCUUCAAAUAAUCUCUACUAUUAAAGCAGGAUCGAACGUCGUGAUGGUUCAACCUAGCGAUGGUUCGACCUCUCCCAACGAUCCCACCUCCUUGUACGACCCUGCACAUAAAAAAAAAAACACACCCACGAACGCACGAUCCCCUCCUGCGAUGCUCCCAACUGAGCCUCCUGGAUCUCCGC
rnacentral:lncRNA from 1 species